GACGAACGCUGGCGGCGUGCCUAAUACAUGCAAGUUGAGCGCUGACGGUUGGUACUUGUACCAACUGGAUGAGCAGCGAACGGGUGAGUAACGCGUGGGGAAUCUGCCUUUGAGCGGGGGACAACAUUUGGAAACGAAUGCUAAUACCGCAUAAAAACUUUAAACACAAGUUUUAAGUUUGAAAGAUGCAAUUGCAUCACUCAAAGAUGAUCCCGCGUUGUAUUAGCUAGUUGGUGAGGUAAAGGCUCACCAAGGCGAUGAUACAUAGCCGACCUGAGAGGGUGAUCGGCCACAUUGGGACUGAGACACGGCCCAAACUCCUACGGGAGGCAGCAGUAGGGAAUCUUCGGAAAUGGACGAAAGUCUGACCGAGCAACGCCGCGUGAGUGAAGAAGGUUGUCGGAUCGUAAAACUCUGUUGGUAGAGAAGAACGUUGGUGAGAGUGGAAAGCUCAUCAAGUGACGGUAACUACCCAGAAAGGGACGGCUAACUACGUG
rnacentral:rRNA from 1 species